ACCUAUAAGACUGGGAUAACUUCGGGAAACCGGAGCUAAUACCGGAUAAUAUUUUGAACCGCAUGGUUCAAAAGUGAAAGACGGUCUUGCUGUCACUUAUAGAUGGAUCCGCGCUGCAUUAGCUAGUUGGUAAGGUAACGGCUUACCAAGGCAACGAUGCAUAGCCGACCUGAGAGGGUGAUCGGCCACACUGGAACUGAGACACGGUCCAGACUCCUACGGGAGGCAGCAGUAGGGAAUCUUCCGCAAUGGGCGAAAGCCUGACGGAGCAACGCCGCGUGAGUGAUGAAGGUCUUCGGAUCGUAAAACUCUGUUAUUAGGGAAGAACAUAUGUGUAAGUAACUGUGCACAUCUUGACGGUACCUAAUCAGAAAGCCACGGCUAACUACGUGCCAGCAGCCGCGGUAAUACGUAGGUGGCAAGCGUUAUCCGGAAUUAUUG
rnacentral:rRNA from 1 species